AUGUAUUUUUUAUGGGGAAUGCCUUCAUUUCGGGGGUUCUUUAGGGCGUAGCAACGCAAAACUUCCCUAGGGGCUACGCUCCCAGAGCACCGAUCCUGUCUCCCUUGACAGGGCCUUCAUCUGCAACCAAGAGGCUUCAUCAUUAGCUAAACGACGAUUUCCAAUCUGCUUCACAGCAAAAUCUGAUACCCCAAGGUGCCCUUUCUGUCAGUCCUGCCCCCGCCGCAUCACAAAGCUUCGGGCGCUUCUGGUUUUAAGAAAUAUAUUAGAAAAAGGGAAGAGGACGAGAUGGCUAGGAGGGGUAAAAGAUAAGGGCAAAUAGAAAAGUUUUAGGGGUGUGUAAUAGAAAGGGGCACGAGGAAAGGGUUAUAGGCUCGGUAAAAGGAAAGAUUAUGAUAAUGGUGAUGUCAAGGAUUAUUCGAAAAACAUGCUGUUUACAACUUCGUAAAAAGGGUCAUUGUAAACACUUGUAUGUCGCUUCCUUCUUUGAUGUAAACAAAUUGGUAAAAGAUGGCAGCAAGUUCAAGGUGCAAGGUUUCUCUUGGGGGUUUUUCGUUGCCACUUCUUCUGACUACCAGCAUGGACGUCAACAAGGGCGCAAUAUUAAAAACUCCUGUCUUUUUCUAAAACUGCACUCAGUUUUAUGUCCCAAGUUGUUUUGAAAGAGAGCCUACGCAUUGAAAAUGUCCUUGGGGGUUACUGUCUUCCAGAAUGUUCUCGCUUGAAGUUUCUUCACACUGUAAGGUCUCUAGUGGUGUCAAAAUGCACCCUGUUAUCCCAAGCGCAAUCGUUGCAGAGAUGGUUGCCUUUUUUGGUCAAAACUGACCUCAGUUGAUGAGCAGGGGUGCGAAAAGCAUGCAAUAGGGGGUAUCCCAGAAUGCACUGGCAACGUGUCAAGCCAACGUGCUUUUCGAUUUUCCCCUCAUUCACGAAGACCCGAAGUCGCGGACGGUCAGGUUCAGGAAACGGCUGUCAUCUACGUUCACAUGUAAGUAGAGAAAUUUAGUUUACAAAUAUCUCUGUUUUUUCUUUAAUGCAAAAAAGGGUUUGGUAGAUGACAAAUCAGCUGGAAAUUAGAUUGGAAAUACAAACUUUGGAGGUUUUCUUAAACAGGGAAAGAUUUGCGUGUCUCCACGUGCAGAAUCAUUCGAAAGUUUCUCGGGGUUUUAGAGGCUUCGACAAUGCACAAACUCGUUAACUUUGCUUUAAUAUCUUUCGUCAAUUUCGAUGUUAAUAUGACUUUCUUUUUUCUUUCAGCUACACAAAUUGCUGAUUUAAUAUGGAGAAUGCGUUUGGAACUGGUAGGGAUGGUGCCUGGUUCCUCAGAAAGAGAAAACAUCAUUCAGAUGAGGAGAGCCCGUGGAACGUCAAUAGCUAAAAAGCGAUUGCGUAAACUCUAAGGAGGACCCUUCAUUGAAUCGCCGAAACCCCUUCUACAGUCCCACGUGUGUCGACACUGAAGGUGCCACAUUCGCAGCGAAAACGCCAUGGCAUAAAGUCUAAAGGAAGAUUCUUCAUCUGCAGCACUAAGUGUGAAGAUCUUAAAAGAGCAAAAGUCACGGCAAAAAUGGCAUCCUCCAUACCCCCAUUUACGCCCACAUCAACCCUCUACCUCCCAUCUUCCACCCACUCAAUUCCUACCUGAUGAUGACUGGAUGGGACACAAGAGAAAUAAGAAGAAAGAAAAGAGACGAGAGAGAGACAGUUGGCAAUUCCUGACGAGGCAACUCCCCGAUGAUGAUGAUGAUGAUGAUGAUGAUGAUGAUGAUGCCUGCGAAGAACAUUCAUUCUCUGUCCAAAGUUGGGUGAAAUUGACUUUCAUUAUGUCUUGUAGUAUAUAUACCUGUUAUUUGCAGUUAUUUAUACCAGUUUUUUGCAACCUUGAUACCAUUUUAAGAUUACAUUCUUUAGACUGGUAAAAACUUUGAUAAUUUGAUAAGUAUAUUUAUUUAGACUGAUAUUAAUUCCCCUCGCAAAUCAUUUCAAAAACUUUUCCUAUUGGCUGUUUUCAUUAUGUGGAAAAUUUCCCAGUUUCAAAAUUAAAUACAUUGAGAGUUACAAGCUUUUUCAAAACAACACAAACUCGAUUUUUUGCAAUAUUUUGUUGAAAGCCCUCCAUUUUUCGCUAUAUCAAGUCUUUGAUUUGUCAAGCAAACCCACUUUUUCAAGUAUUAGAUCUUCUUAAUUGAUUUGAUCUCAACCUAAACCUACCCAACAUUUUUCAAAUAAAAUACAAUUACUUUGUGCUAAUUGCCUUUAAAGUUUCCCUCUUUAAAGAAAAGUUAUAAUUUCCCCCAAAUAGGUAUGUUUCAACAACCCACAGAACGUUUUCCAAUCGAUUUAGGAUCAUUAAUAACUUGUACACUGCCAAUUUUAUUGCCUUUUCGCCUUUUUUGAAGAUAUGACAUUUUGCAAUUCAUGUUAGGCUAAGUAGAUUGUAUUUAAGAUGCAUUUCUUUGCCAUUGCAGUUUUAAUGAUAUUUGUAGAGUAUUUAACUUAGUUUGAUUGUUGUUAAUGAUUUUUUGCGUUGUUAUCUUGGCAUUUUCUCUUGAACUGGAUCUUCGACUUGCACGUCGGGAUCUGGUCCCUGGGAAGUCCAAGUUCCACGCGCCUUUGUUCUUAUUGUUUUGGUUUUUCUGUCGUUAUUGUUCCAAGAACAAUGCCGACCGAAAAACCAAGACAAUGGGAACAAAGGGGCUGAGGAACUGGACAAAUCCCAUGGGACCAGAUCCCAUUCUACAAUAGGGGUGGAGUAGGCAAAACCUAUCUUAAACUUUUGUUUCAUCGCUAUUGUUCUCUAUUGUUCUCUCUAUUGUUUCAAAAACCAAAAUUACCUACUUUAUCUAGAAAAAGGGCCUACAAAAGUAGCUAC